GAUAAUGUGGCUGAUUUAGGCGGUAAAUUGUAAAUUUAUUUAUGAAAUUUUUUUUUCCAUUAUUA
rnacentral:tRNA from 1 species